CAGCCGUAAACUAUGCGCGUUAGGUGUAUCGGUGACCACGAGUCACCGAGGUGCCGAAGGGAAACCGUGAAACGUGCCGCCUGGGAAGUACGGUCGCAAGGCCGAAACUUAAAGGAAUUGGCGGGGGAGCACCACAACGGGUGGAGCCUGCGGUUUAAUUGGACUCAACGCCGGACAACUCACCGGGGACGACAGCAAUAUGUAGGCCAGGCUGAAGACCUUGCCUGAAUCGCUGAGAGGAGGUGCAUGGCGUAGACGUCU
rnacentral:rRNA from 1 species